AGAGUUUGAUCCUGGCUCAGGACGAACGCUGGCGGCACGCCUAACACAUGCAAGUCGAGCGCGAAAGGCACUUCGGUGCUGAUUAGAGCGGCGCACGGGUGAGUAACGCGUGGCCAACCUGCCCCCGGGACCGGGACAACCCUUUGAAAGGAGGGCUAAUACCGGAUGACACCCAGAUCACGGGAUCGGGGUUGAAAGCUCCGGCGCCCGGGGAGGGGGCCGCGUCCCAUCAGCUAGCCGGUGAGGUGAAGGCUCACCGGGGCGACGACGGGUAGCGGGUCUGAGAGGACGAUCCGCCACACUGGCACUGAGACACGGGCCAGACUCCUGCGGGAGGCAGCAGUGGGGAAUCUUGCGCAAUGGGGGGAACCCUGACGCAGCGAUGCCGCGUGGGUGAAGAAGGCCCUCGGGUCGUAAAGCCCUUUUGGCGGGGAGGAUGAUGACGUCACCCGCCGAAUAAGCUCCGGCUAACUACGUGCCAGCAGCCGCGGUAAUACGUAGGGAGCGAGCGUUGUCCGGAAUUACUGGGCGUAAAGGGCGCGCAGGUGGGUUUGCAAGCGGGGGGUGAAAGGCCGGGGCUCAACCCCGGGACUGCUCCCCGAACUGCAAGCCUUGAGGGGGUCAGGGGCCAGCGGAAUUCCGGGUGGAGAGGUGAAAUUCGUAGAGAUCCGGAGGAACGCCGGCGGCGAAAGCGGCUGGCUGGGGCCGCCCUGACACUGAGGCGCGAGAGCGUGGGGAGCAAACAGGAUUAGAUACCCUGGUAGUCCACGCCGUAAACGAUGGGUACCGGGUGUCCGGGGGGUCGACCCCCCUGGGCGCCGCAGCUAACGCGAUGAGUACCCCGCCUGGGGAGUACGGCCGCAAGGCUAAAACUCAAAGGAAUUGACGGGACCCCGCACAAGCAGCGGAGCGUGUGG
rnacentral:rRNA from 1 species